GGGAUGUUAAAUCAACGGUAAAGCAAUUGACUACAGAUCAAUAGGUCUUCAGUUCAAAUCCAGAAUGUCCCU